GGGCCGGUAGCUUGAUGGGCAAAAGCACUUCCCAGCCAGAGUCUAAGCCGUGCUGGUAAGAGUUUGUGGGUUCAAAUCCCGCCCGGCCCA
rnacentral:tRNA from 1 species